GACAAACGCUGGCGGCGUGCUUAACACAUGCAAGUCGAACGGAAAGGCCCUGCUUUUGUGGGGUGCUCGAGUGGCGAACGGGUGAGUAACACGUGAGUAACCUGCCCUUGACUUUGGGAUAACUUCAGGAAACUGGGGCUAAUACCGGAUAGGAGCUCCUGCUGCAUGGUGGGGGUUGGAAAGUUUCGGCGGUUGGGGAUGGACUCGCGGCUUAUCAGCUUGUUGGUGGGGUAGUGGCUUACCAAGGCUUUGACGGGUAGCCGGCCUGAGAGGGUGACCGGCCACAUUGGGACUGAGAUACGGCCCAGACUCCUACGGGAGGCAGCAGUGGGGAAUAUUGCACAAUGGGCGGAAGCCUGAUGCAGCAACGCCGCGUGCGGGAUGACGGCCUUCGGGUUGUAAACCGCUUUCGCCUGUGGCGAAGCGUGAGUGACGGUAAUGGGUAAAGAAGCACCGGCUAACUACGUG
rnacentral:rRNA from 1 species